rnacentral:rRNA from 1 species
AAUCCAUAGGUUAAUGAGGCGAACCGGGGGAACUGAAACAUCUAAGUACCCCGAGGAAAAGAAAUCAACCGAGAUUCCCCCAGUAGCGGCGAGCGAACGGGGAGGAGCCCAGAGCCUGAAUCAGCAUGUGUGUUAGUGGAAGCGUCUGGAAAGGCGCGCGAUACAGGGUGACAGCCCCGUACACAAAAGCGCAUGUGCUGUGAGCUCGAUGAGUAGGGCGGGACACGUGGUAUCCUGUCUGAAUAUGGGGGGACCAUCCUCCAAGGCUAAAUACUCCUGACUGACCGAUAGUGAACCAGUACCGUGAGGGAAAGGCGAAAAGAACCCCGGCGAGGGGAGUGAAAAAGAACCUGAAACCGUGUACGUACAAGCAGUGGGAGCACCCUUUGGGUGUGACUGCGUACCUUUUGUAUAAUGGGUCAGCGACUUAUAUUCUGUAGCAAGGUUAACCGAAUAGGGGAGCCGGAGGGAAACCGAGUCUUAACCGGGCGUUAAGUUGCAGGGUAUAGACCCGAAACCCGGUGAUCUAGCCAUGGGCAGGUUGAAGGUUGGGUAACACUAACUGGAGGACCGAACCGACUAAUGUUGAAAAAUUAGCGGAUGACCUGUGGCUGGGGGUGAAAGGCCAAUCAAACCGGGAGAUAGCUGGUUCUCCCCGAAAGCUAUUUAGGUAGCGCCUCGUGAAUUCAUCUCCGGGGGUAGAGCACUGUUUCGGCUAGGGGGCCAUCCCGGCUUACCAACCCGAUGCAAACUGCGAAUACCGGAGAAUGUUAUCACGGGAGACACACGGCGGGUGCUAACGUCCGUCGUGAAGAGGGAAACAACCCAGACCGCCAGCUAAGGUCCCAAAGUCAUGGUUAAGUGGGAAACGAUGUGGGAAGGCCCAGACAGCCAGGAUGUUGGCUUAGAAGCAGCCAUCAUUUAAAGAAAGCGUAAUAGCUCACUGGUCGAGUCGGCCUGCGCGGAAGAUGUAACGGGGCUAAACCAUGCACCGAAGCUGCGGCAGCGACACUGUGUGUUGUUGGGUAGGGGAGCGUUCUGUAAGCCUGUGAAGGUGUGUCGUGAGGCAUGCUGGAGGUAUCAGAAGUGCGAAUGCUGACAUAAGUAACGAUAAAGCGGGUGAAAAGCCCGCUCGCCGGAAGACCAAGGGUUCCUGUCCAACGUUAAUCGGGGCAGGGUGAGUCGACCCCUAAGGCGAGGCCGAAAGGCGUAGUCGAUGGGAAACGGGUUAAUAUUCCCGUACUUGGUGUUACUGCGAAGGGGGGACGGAGAAGGCUAUGUUGGCCGGGCGACGGUUGUCCCGGUUUAAGCGUGUAGGUGUGUGUUCCAGGUAAAUCCGGUUCACUUUAACACUGAGGCGUGACGACGAGGCACUACGGUGCUGAAGCAACAAAUGCCCUGCUUCCAGGAAAAGCCUCUAAGCAUCAGGUAACAUCAAAUCGUACCCCAAACCGACACAGGUGGUCAGGUAGAGAAUACCAAGGCGCUUGAGAGAACUCGGGUGAAGGAACUAGGCAAAAUGGUGCCGUAACUUCGGGAGAAGGCACGCUGACACGUAGGUGAAGUGAUUUACUCAUGGAGCUGAAGUCAGUCGAAGAUACCAGCUGGCUGCAACUGUUUAUUAAAAACACAGCACUGUGCAAACACGAAAGUGGACGUAUACGGUGUGACGCCUGCCCGGUGCCGGAAGGUUAAUUGAUGGGGUCAGCGCAAGCGAAGCUCCUGAUCGAAGCCCCGGUAAACGGCGGCCGUAACUAUAACGGUCCUAAGGUAGCGAAAUUCCUUGUCGGGUAAGUUCCGACCUGCACGAAUGGCGUAAUGAUGGCCAGGCUGUCUCCACCCGAGACUCAGUGAAAUUGAACUCGCUGUGAAGAUGCAGUGUACCCGCGGCAAGACGGAAAGACCCCGUGAACCUUUACUAUAGCUUGACACUGAACAUUGAGCCUUGAUGUGUAGGAUAGGUGGGAGGCUUUGAAGUGUGGACGCCAGUCUGCAUGGAGCCGACCUUGAAAUACCACCCUUUAAUGUUUGAUGUUCUAACGUGGACCCGUUACCCGGGUUGCGGACAGUGUCUGGUGGGUAGUUUGACUGGGGCGGUCUCCUCCUAAAGAGUAACGGAGGAGCACGAAGGUUGGCUAAUCCUGGUCGGACAUCAGGAGGUUAGUGCAAUGGCAUAAGCCAGCUUGACUGCGAGCGUGACGGCGCGAGCAGGUGCGAAAGCAGGUCAUAGUGAUCCGGUGGUUCUGAAUGGAAGGGCCAUCGCUCAACGGAUAAAAGGUACUCCGGGGAUAACAGGCUGAUACCGCCCAAGAGUUCAUAUCGACGGCGGUGUUUGGCACCUCGAUGUCGGCUCAUCACAUCCUGGGGCUGAAGUAGGUCCCAAGGGUAUGGCUGUUCGCCAUUUAAAGUGGUACGCGAGCUGGGUUUAGAACGUCGUGAGACAGUUCGGUCCCUAUCUGCCGUGGGCGCUGGAGAACUGAGGGGGGCUGCUCCUAGUACGAGAGGACCGGAGUGGACGCAUCACUGGUGUUCGGGUUGUCAUGCCAAUGGCACUGCCCGGUAGCUAAAUGCGGAAGAGAUAAGUGCUGAAAGCAUCUAAGCACGAAACUUGCCCCGAGAUGAGUUCUCCCUGAGACUUAAAGUCUCCUGAAGGAACGUUGA